AAAUUAACUAAAAGACAUACACUUGGAAUCGAGGAGCAUUUAUAAAUUUAAUAAAAUAUUUAAAUAUUCAAAGAAAAACUUUGGCGUGGAUGAAAACAGUGCUUAGGAAGAUUGAGGCCUGGAACAUAGACUGAAUGAAAGAGAAUUUAAUGCAUUGCAUAAAAAGUAGAAAUUAAACUGAACCUAAAACAUGGAUUGAUUGAGGCCUGGAACAUAGACUGAAUGAAAGAGAAUUUAAUGCAUUGCAUAAAAAGUAGAAAUUAAACUGAACCUAGAACAUGGAUUGCAUGAAAGAAAAUUAAUUGAUUUCGUAAAAAGAAAUGAUUACAAAAAGUAAAAAGAUUGAAAUGAAGCCUAAUGCUUCUUUCUUCUAUAA
rnacentral:lncRNA from 1 species